AACAGAUGUUGAAACAGAGGUGUUUUGAGUGAUUACUUGACCCAAGUUACUCCAACUUCUUGUAAUCAAAGGAUUGUCGCGGAAAGGUUAAGUAAGUUUGCAUUAAGUUCUUUUUCUUGCCUGGUAAACAAGGACUUUUAGUUCAUAAUCUUGUAUGUUCGAAUGAAAGGAGUCAAAAGCCCUUUUUUAAACCAUUUCCUUGAUCCUAGGUUGUUCUUAAUGAAAACAAAUCUAUUAAGUUAGCCAGAUCCAAAUGUAAAUGGACUUCUUAAAUAGAAAACAAAUGGAAAUAACUUGAUUACAUGUUGAAAAGUACACUUAAACGACAGAUCUACUAAUUUAGAGGACAAAUAAAGAGACUCGGGCAAGAUUUCACCUUGUCGAGCAAGGUUGAACUUCUUGCAACCACUUCUCUUUGUGUUUAUAGAGACUAUGAGCUAAAAAAGGAUGAAUGUUAAACAG
rnacentral:lncRNA from 1 species